rnacentral:rRNA from 1 species
CCUACGGGAGGCAGCAGUGGGGGAUCUUGCACAAUGGGGGGAACCCUGAUGCAGCGACGCCGCGUGGGUGAAGAAGGGCCUCGGCGCGUAAAGCCCUGUCAGCAGGGAAGAAAAUGACGGUACCUGACGAAGAAGCCCCGGCUAACUACGUGCCAGCAGCCGCGGUAAUACGUAGGGGGCAAGCGUUAUCCGGAUUUACUGGGUGUAAAGGGGGCGCAGACGGCGAUGCAAGCCAGGAGUGAAAGCCCGGGGCCCAACCCCGGGACUGCUCUUGGAACUGCGUGGCUGGAGUGCAGGAGGGGCAGGCGGAAUUCCUGGUGUAGCGGUGAAAUGCGUAGAUAUCAGGAGGAACACCGGUGGCGAAGGCGGCCUGCUGGACUGCAACUGACGUUGAGGCCCGAAAGCGUGGGGAGCAAACAGGAUUAGAUACCCCAGUAGUC